AAUCCCUAUAAGCUGUCCUAAAAAUAUUGAAAGACUGAGUCUGGAAAACUUCAAAAAAAAAGGGAUGUUUAUUCAUACAAGGUUGUAAACCUGGCACAGAUCUUAAAGUUACAGAAAAUGAAACAAAUUUCUAUAGGUUUUAGCUACAGAAUUAUCCUUGGUUCCAGAAGGCAAAGGUGAUUAUAAAACCACUAUACCCUAAUCACGCUGUCUAUAUUAGAAGGAGAAACUCUUUCCUUCCCUAUCUUUACAGCAAAGAUUAGUUCUAGAAGCGACGGAAUAACCCUGCUCCUCUAACUAGAUUUCCUAUUCCAGAUCAGUAUAAUUCAAUACUUAUCUAAUUUGGAUAGGCUUAGAUUGGCCUGGUUUUGAGGAUGAUUUGUCCCAGUUAGCUUUGCACAGCUGCAGCACGUUGGAAGACUAUAGCCAAAAUGAGGCUCCAAAAUGGAGACUAGACCCUGGUAAAAAAGGGCGGUCCUAAGAUGUUGUACUCUUUGACCAAUCAUUGCAAAGAAAACUGCAGCCAGCUCUUGCAGACUCCAAGCCACUUUUCCUGGGCUUUUGCAGCCAGAGGCUGAAACAAAAUGCAAAGGAGGGAAAACAAACAAACGACCAAUAGAAAUGCAAACCAGGGUUUAAAAGACAUCAGCAAUUGGCUAUUUGGGUAACUUACAAACAUCUGAUGGUUAUCAAGAGUCUCUGCUUAAUUUAAGUUGGAUCGUAGCUGGACUGAUUCAAACAAAACCGUAUUAUUCCCCCACUAUUGCUCUUAUUGAACUGGGAAGCUGAGGGUGACUUGCCCAAAGUCACUUAGGAUGUUGUGGAUAGCUUGGAAAGUGAGAAUGAGGAUGAGGAGAUGCUGCUGGAAGGCUCAGUGAUCAAGAUGGAGCCCAACAACUCAGCCCAACUUUGAAGCAGCACCCAUGGAAAGAGCUAUUACUUCUCAGACUUCAGAACAAGUGCAAGCAAAUUCCUCUGAGCAGGCUUAGGAAGAUUUAACUAUUCUAGCUUUUGUGGACCUGCAAAGAAAGAGGUCUCAGUUGUACAGAUCUUUCAGAUUAGCUGAGAAGCGAAUCAGCAGCAGACAACACUUGUGAAUUUAGGAUGUCAGGAGCUAAAGAGUGGCACCUUGUUGUUGGCUGCAACGUCAGUUUUAGAAGCUAUGAGCUCAGACUCUUGCUAUAUUGUAUUCCUGAAUUCUGGACUUCCCCUUGGACCUCGGCUACAGAUUCUGAUUCAACCUCUUACUCUGAACUCUGAUAUUUUGGCUUAUCACCCUGGAACAGACAUUCGGCUUCUCUGUUGUGUUAUCCUGCUAAUGUUUGCCUCUCUGUUAGACUAAUGCUCAAAUCAUUACACCAUGCUGGUUCUUGUGAUAGGAAGUGGCUUGGGCUUUAUUGAUUGUUACACUGCAAUUUUAUAAAUG